ACUGCUCAGUAACACGUGGAUAACCUGCCCUAAGGAAGGGGAUAACCUCGGGAAACUGAGGAUAAUACCCUAUAGGUUACAGACGCUGGAAUGCCCUGUAACCGAAAGUUCCGGUGCCUUAGGAUGGAUCUGCGGCCGAUUAGGUUGUUGUUGGGGUAACGGCCCAACAAGCCGAUAAUCGGUACGGGUUGUGGGAGCAAGAGCCCGGAGUUGGAUUCUGAGACAUGAAUCCAGGCCCUACGGGGCGCAGCAGGCGCGAAAACUUUACAAUGCGGGAAACCGUGAUAAGGGAACCCCGAGUGCCUGUAUAUGCAGGCUGUCCAGGUGUCUAAAAAACACCUGAAGAAAGGGCCGGGCAAGACCGGUGCCAGCCGCCGCGGUAAUACCGGCGGCUCGAGUGGUGGCCACUUUUAUUGGGCUUAAAGCGUUCGUAGCUGGGUUGUUAAGUCUCUUGGGAAAUCUGACGGCUCAACCGUCAGGCGUCCAAGGGAUACUGGCAAUCUUGGAACCGGGAGAGGUGAGGGGUACUUCGGGGGUAGGAGUGAAAUCCUGUAAUCCUCGAGGGACCACCUGUGGCGAAGGCGCCUCACCAGAACGGCUUCGACAGUGAGGGACGAAAGCUGGGGGAGCAAACCGGAUUAGAUACCCGGGUAGUCCCAGCCGUAAACGAUGCGCGUUAGGUGUAUCGGUGACCACGAGUCACCGAGGUGCCGAAGGGAAACCGUGAAACGUGCCGCCUGGGAAGUACGGUCGCAAGGCUGAAACUUAAAGGAAUUGGCGGGGGAGCAC
rnacentral:rRNA from 1 species